rnacentral:rRNA from 1 species
GAUGAACGCUGGCGGCGUGCCUAAUACAUGCAAGUCGAGCGAACAGAUGAGGAUCUUGCUCCUCUGACGUUAGCGGCGGACGGGUGAGUAACACGUGGAUAACCUACCUAUAAGACUGGGAUAACUUCGGGAAACCGGAGCUAAUACCGGAUAAUAUAUUGAACCGCAUGGUUCAAUAGUGAAAGACGGUUUUGCUGUCACUUAUAGAUGGAUCCGCGCCGCAUUAGCUAGUUGGUAAGGUAACGGCUUACCAAGGCAACGAUGCGUAGCCGACCUGAGAGGGUGAUCGGCCACACUGGAACUGAGACACGGUCCAGACUCCUACGGGAGGCAGCAGUAGGGAAUCUUCCGCAAUGGGCGAAAGCCUGACGGAGCAACGCCGCGUGAGUGAUGAAGGUCUUCGGAUCGUAAAACUCUGUUAUUAGGGAAGAACAAAUGUGUAAGUAACUAUGCACGUCCUGACGGUACCUAAUCAGAAAGCCACGGCUAACUACGUG